GCUUUUUAUUCACACCCACAGACACGAACCCUCAUCAUACCUGAGCCGUUGUCAUGUGUUAUAGUCCCAGCUACUCAGGAGUCUGAGGCAGGAGGAUUGCUUUAGCCCAGGAGUUCAUGGCAAGUCUGGGCAACACUGCAAGACCCCAUCUCAAAAAAGAAGAAGGAGAAGGAGAAAGGGGAAAAAAGAAAUCAUGCCUUUUUUUCCCCUAAACUUUUCAAAACUUAUUGCUAUAAAGUUGUGCCUACAGUUUUUAAAAAACAUAUAUUCUGCCCUUCAAUAGAUGGAUGAAUGGAUAAAAAAAUGUGGCAUUUAUACACAAUGGAGUAUUACUCUGCAUUAAAAAAUGACAAAAUCAUGGAAUUUUCAGGGAAAUGGAUGGCAUUAGAGCAGAUUAUGCUAAGUGAAGCUAGCCAAUCCCUAAAAAACAGAUGCCAAAUGUCUUCUUUGAUAUAAGGAGAGCAACUAAGAACAGAGUAGGGAGGAAGAGCAUGAGAAGAAGAUUAACAUUAAACAUGGACGAGAGGUGGGAGGGAAAGGGAGAGAGAAGGGAAAUUGCAUGGAAAUGGAAGGAGACCCUCAUGGUUAUACAAAAUUGCAUACAAGAGGAAGUGAGGGGAAAGGGGAAAAAAACAAACAAACAAGGGGGAGAAAUGAAUUAUAGUAGA
rnacentral:lncRNA from 1 species